rnacentral:lncRNA from 1 species
GCGGUUCUGGACUCGGUCCACGUCGCAGCGCCCCACGCCCCCGCCUCCGUCCUCGCCUCAGUCGCCGCCGUUUUUCAGCCACUCUGCGCAGCCCACAGGCCGACCCUGGCGCGGGGCUGUAGGAGGCGAACGGUGGGGAGGGGACUGGGGGGCGAUAGCAGCCUGGGUUCCUGUCGCUGAGAGGCAGGCCCCUCGUCCUGGUCUUUGCACGUGAGCUCGGCCUCCGGCUUCCCGAGAAGGCCCUCCCAGGCUGAGGCGUCCCGAGCAGGCAGCUUCCCCGCCACCUGUUUCCCGCGCUCCUUAGUCGCCAGUCCCACGCGGAGCCGGCCCUCCAGGGCUCGCAGCCGGCUCCUGGUACCCAGAGCAGAUGCAGGAUUGCAGAAGGCAGCUGGGCCUGGGAUGGGAUUUAACAAACCCCUUGGGGACCUUGAUUCCCAGGGAAGAAUGGCAGUGACCACCACGGAUUGGGGGCCCAGUCAGGCAGCCCAGAAACAGGGCGUUCAUACAGACAGAUGUAAAGACCCAAAACCAGCAUGUGUGAACCUACCUCCACGGCUGGGACAGGAUGUGAGGCACCAAGAAUCCAGUUCAUCCAACUGGUGUGUCAGAAAAAGAUGCCAUCUCAAUAUUGGUUUAUGUUUAUUUUCCACUGACCCUGUGGGUGAAGACGUCCUUGUCUAAUACUCCAUCUGAACGCUUUCCAGCUCAUCCAGUAUGUCACCAGGUAACACCACUGAAGUCUUGUUGGCUGUUUCUGCUUUCCCCAGGCUGAGGCAUCCCGAGGCCUUAGCCUCUCUCACCUGCUAAACUUUGCCUUCCCAUUUCUUUUAGCAAAUAAAAGUCCAGAAGCUAUAAAAUUCAGUUUAGUGGUUCAACUAAACUGAAUUUAAUUGAAAUUAAAUUGUUACUGAUCAGAGUUAUUGAUAAGAAAACAAUAAGACAGUCUCUGCAGGAGUUUAUAGCUAGUGAUAAUCAGAAAUUUUUAGAUCAAUCAAUGUCAAGUAAGUCGCUGUUAGAAAAUGAUUAUAUGUUAGGAAAAGCCCAGGUCAGGGAUCAGCCAAGGACAAUUAAUGGCAUGAGCUUAAAAAAUUAGGACUUGUUUAAAAUUAGGACAAAUGACCAAACUGGGCUUAAAGAGGAGAUUUCAUUGGUGAUGAGUUAGGGGAGAAAAAAAGUUUAUGCCACAGUUACUUUCAUAAUUUUAAUUAAAAUCUAUUCAGAAAAAAAUCUACAUUCUACUAAAUAUUUUAUAAUCUGGUUUUGUUUUUUUUUUUUUAGUUUCUAAAGGCUCUUCAUAAACAGUAUCUUUAAAGUGUCUUGUACUAACUUUUUCUUCUAUCUUGGGUCAUAUAGAGCAAAAUUUCCUAACAAACACACAAAGUAUAAAUGAAGGACACUGAGAAUAUUUGAAGGAAAUUAUCAAAUAUAUUGACCUAAUUCAUGGAUCAAAGUAAUUCUCUUUCACUUUGUUUCCUUCCAGGUUAACAGAUAUGGAGGUUUCUAUGAGGAUUUGGAGAAGAGUCUCAAUGACUGCUAAAAUUCUGGACUAGAUUUGUUAGGAAAGGUAAAGAAACAAGGAUUUACUAGAAGUAAAGAGGAGGUUAUAAUGGUU